rnacentral:tRNA from 1 species
GCUCCCGUCGUCUAGCCCGGUCAACAUAUGGCUGAAAGGAUAGGGGCCUCUCGAGCCUCAGACCCGGGUUCAAAUCCCGGCGGGAGCACCA